rnacentral:rRNA from 1 species
CCUAACACAUGCAAGUCGAGCGCGCCCUUCGGGGUGAGCGGCGGACGGGUUAGUAACGCGUGGGAACGUGCCCAGAUCUAAGGAAUAGCCACUGGAAACGGUGAGUAAUACCUUAUACGCCCUUCGGGGGAAAGAUUUAUCGGAUUUGGAUCGGCCCGCGUUAGAUUAGGUAGUUGGUGGGGUAAUGGCCUACCAAGCCUACGAUCUAUAGCUGGUUUUAGAGGAUGAUCAGCAACACUGGGACUGAGACACGGCCCAGACUCCUACGGGAGGCAGCAGUGGGGAAUCUUGGACAAUGGGGGCAACCCUGAUCCAGCCAUGCCGCGUGAGUGAUGAAGGCCUUAGGGUCGUAAAGCUCUUUCGCCUGUGAUGAUAAUGACAGUAGCAGGUAAAGAAACCCCGGCUAACUCCGUGCCAGCAGCCGCGGUAAUACGGAGGGGGUUAGCGUUGUUCGGAAUUACUGGGCGUAAAGCGCGCGUAGGCGGAUUAGUCAGUUAGAGGUGAAAUCCCCAGGGCUCAACCCUGGAACUGCCUUUAAUACUGCUAGUCUUGAGUUCGAGAGAGGUGAGUGGAAUUUCCGAGUGUAGAGGUGAAAUUCGUAGAUAUUUCGGAGGAACACCAGUGGCGAAGGCGGCUCACUGGCUCGAUACUGACGCCUGAGGUGCGAAAGUUGUGGGGAGCCAAACAGGAUUAGAUACCCCUGGGUAGUCCACACCGUAAACGAUGAAUGCCAGUUCGUCGGCAAGCAAUGCUUGUCGGUGACCACACCCUAAACGAGAUUAUAGCAUUCCCGCCCUGGGGAGGUACCGGUCCGCAAGGAUUAUAAACUUCAAAGGGAAUUUGACCGGGGGGCCCCCGCCACAA